GGGUCAGUAGGUUGGUCGUGCCACCGGUACGUACUGGUCUCAAUGAUUCCUCCUUCCUGAAGAACCGUAAUGCCAUUAAUUUGGUGUUGCGGGGAAACAGGACUGUCACUUUGAAAAAAUUAGAGUGUUUAAAGCAAGCUAACGCUUGAAUACAUUAGCAUGGAAUAAUGAAAUAGGACGAUCGAUCCUAUUUUGUUGGUUUCUAGGAUUGACGUA
rnacentral:rRNA from 1 species